rnacentral:lncRNA from 1 species
AUGAAUGUGUCUUUUGUCCAGCUCGGCCGCCUCGGAUCUCACUGCCACCGGCCUUCACGCACACCCUCGCCACCAGCCUUUGCCCCGUCAGCCUCAGCCCCAGCUCAUUCUCUCAGGCAGUCCCAGCAUUGGCAUGGUACCUCCUCCCGCCGUGGGCCUCACGUCUCUGCUCCCUGUCAACCCUACUGCCAUCAGCAUCACCACAAGCGACUUGUCUGCCCAGGAGGAUGCAACACCAUCUACCUCUACCGGCCACCUUUCAGUGUUUUCUGCUUUCCAAGUAAAGACACCAGCAGUGCCCUCAGAGCGGACCAGCCAGAGAUUUUCCGAAGCCUCCCAUAUAGGCUCCUCCGUGGAGGAGGCCUGAGAUGCUGUCAUGACUUUGGAGCCAGGGUGGCCGACCACCUUGGCCUGGCCAUCUUUGGGGUGGGCUUUGGGAGCCCAGCACUGCUGCCGAGUGUGGUGGAUGAGAACGGCUGCUGCUUGCUGUACGUGGUGGAGCUGUGUGGCGUGGAGCGAGCCUUCAGAGCUGAGCAUUUGACCAACACCAGAGUGGUUCGGGAACAGGAUGCGGACAUUGUCCUCAACGACCAGCGGGAAGGGGGUGCUUUGCGAGAGGCUGCCGAGUUUGAAUUGUCAGGCUGCCCAGUCCUGCUUCGACGAAGCCGACGGACGUGGAAAGCCUUUGGUCUGUGGAUUUUACAAGUGGGAUUUUCCACAACGCUGCUGUGCGCGGCGUGGAUGCCACAUGCAUGUUGCUGGGGGACGCCACUUCGGACACUGUUUUCUCUGGGACAUGCCUUCUGCCCAGAUAUGGCUGCCUUAAAAGAUGCAGACACUGUUAUGAUCAGCAUGAAGUUUCCCUGUGGGGCUAUGGUCAGCGUGGACGUCAGCCAGCACCGUACAGACAGCUGUGACCAGGGAUUGGAGGUGCGUGGGUCCCAAGGCGCGCUGCAGAUGGAGAAUCAGAAUCCCUUGGGCAUCACCGGGCGGGGCACGUCCCUGUCCCUCGGCUCCCAGACCCAGGCUAGCCGCUACCAGGACUCGUAUCGAGAGCUCUUCAGCUACUUUGUCAGAACCCUUAAAGGAAGAUUCUGAGAGAUGCUCCUUUGGGGUUCCGUGCAUGUACCAUGUUGCCUGACAUGUCCUAAGAAAUCUUCUAGAACUCCGAGGUUUAUAA